UCAAAAGUUAUCGGUUCAAUUGAACCUGGAGUUACUGAACUACAUCCGCCCCUGUUUGGGUGGUUGUUUGGAGGCAGCGGGUGGCUGGUGGUGUGUUGUCGACGAAGAAGCAGUUUGUUUGGACGACGGGGUUAUGGAGCUGGUCGACGGACGUGAAGGAUGCUGGUUCGUUCAGGGUCGUGGUGGAUGUAGGAACGGAGAUGGUGGUGUGAGGUUCAGCUGGUCAUGAGGGUGGUGACGAUGAUGGGUAUGGCUGCUGGAGACGGGCAGCUUGGUGUGGGCUGAAGAUGGCGGAAAGCUGCUGCUAGGUGGCUGUUUGGGUGUUAGGGGGCGGGUAGUUUUUGGUGUGGCUAUGGAGGAUUGUUUAGGGUUUAUAGUUGGAGAAAGUUGAAAGAAGAAGAUGACCUUUUGUCUUCAAAAAAAAUGUGUAUUCAUCCGUGUAGUAGCGUUUCAAAAUCUGAC
rnacentral:lncRNA from 1 species